GACCCGUCUUGAAGCACGGACCAAGGAGUCUAACAUGUGCGCGAGUCGCUCGGUCUUGUUUAGGCCAGGGAGGCGCAAUGAAAGUAAAUUUGAUAUGUUAUGAUCCCGGUAUCGUUAGCGUUUGCGGUCCAAAAGGCCGUGAACGUGUGCCGGGCGCAAUAACGGCCCUCUCGUUUUGCUCAUAUCGACAAUUGGGAGGAGUCAUAGCGUACACGUUGGUACCCGAAAGAUGGUGAACUAUGCCUGGGCAAGACGAAGCCAGAGGAAACUCUGGUGGAGGUCUGUAGCGAUUCUGACGUGCAAAUCGAUCGUCAGACCUGGGUAUAGGGGCGAAAGACUAAUCGAACCAUCUAGUAGCUGGUUCCCUCUGAAGUUUCCCUCAGGAUAGCAGGCACUUGAUGAGAACUCAGUCUCAUCCGGUAAAGCGAAUGAUUAGAGGCAUUGGGGUCGAAACGACCUCAACCUAUUCUCAAACUUUAAAUGGGUGAGAAGCUUGACUUGUUUGAUUAAAGCCAAGCACAAAGUGGAUGAAUGAGUGCCUAGUGGGCCAUUUUUGGUAAGCAGAACUGGCGCUGUGGG
rnacentral:rRNA from 1 species